GAGCGUUGUAGCUGGUUCCAGAUAUGAAAAUUAAGGAAAAUUAUUGAAAGUUUUUCCUUUUCAGCUCAAAAGUAUGUUUUACUAUUUGAAUCUGUAAAUGUAAAACACAUGUAGAAUGAACAUUUAAAGUUUUAUGCAGAUCGUAUAAACACCCCCAUUCACCUUACAGUGCUUAGACACAGGAUGCACAAGCCAAAGCAAACGACAAUAAGAAAACUCAAAAACUCUCUUACUACAUUCCUCAGCGUAUGUAGGUCGGCUCUUCCUUCAGUCAAAUUCUCCACGGGCGCAGGUCAUUGCAUGUUGGUAAGAGAGGAUGAAAAACAAGAUCUCUUCAAAUUAAUGGACCUUCUCAUCUACGCUUAUUGUCGCUCUUGAAUCCACUCCGCAGUUGUGCUCUCUUAAAUGUAAGCAUCAAACCACGCAGCGAAAUUGCUCCCGCUCUUAAUUUUCCACCCCCUCUUCAGGUCAUUGCACUAACAUCACCAGCAGCAGGAGCAGAGGACCAAUGGCUAAACACUCUUCAAACCUCUUUUUUGAUGAAGAUCUCAUCCCAUCUUCCUCUGCCCUCAAUGCUGCCCUCACUUGCUCUCUUUGAUUGCAAUUGAAAAAGAGCGCUAGUGAAAUUUAAGUUGCCGGCGCAACGCGUGUUUGUUAAUGUCGUAUAGGAAAAAGUGUUAAAUAAUGAUGGAAAGGCUCGGAAAAUUGUGAAAAAGCCCGUGUGAUACGUGUACAUACAUAGCUAGUGUUUAAAAG
rnacentral:lncRNA from 1 species